rnacentral:siRNA from 1 species
GCAAAUGCUUGGAGAUACUUGCUC